CUUGAUCUCUGGGAUGAAACAAAACUUGACUCCUGGCAAGCUGAAGAAAGAAGUUUAAAGUUUGUUUUGAAGGUAUCUACGUCUCUGGGGAAGACUUCCACAGAUAGCUUCUACUUUCUUUCCAGUCCAUGGGAUCUAAGACUUCUGUGAGGAUCAGGCUAUACAAAUAGAAUCUUUAGACUGGCAAAUUGCACCCAUUGUUGUUGGGGUGCAUCUGAAGACUGACGCAGAAACAGGCAAGAACACUGAGUGAAAAUAGGCACCCCAGAAAAGAUAAUGGGAACUUGAUCCGUAUUUUGAGAGCUGUUCACAGUGUAAAAUCAGAAAUAAGAACGUUAUUUCUUUUUGCCUUUCAAGAUCCUGGAUCUGGAGGUGGGGCGAUGAAAUGUGAAAUAAGGCAGAUAAGACUAGAAUGGGAUAUUCAGCCUGCAGACCUGCUCCAGUGGAUGCAUGAAGCCUUCUUGAUGAAUACAAUGAGUACUACCCCAUGAUUCAGCAUUUUACUGUAGAAGAAUAUUUGAUUGUAGUUUCAUAACCACUGUACUUCAAGCGACAUUAAAGCACAAGAGUAAGCACUAAAAGCCAGGGUCCUCCUCCUGGGUAUUUUGAGGACUAGCUAUUCAGAUAGAGAAAUGAAGAACACCCCAAAAAUCAUUUGAUGGGAAAGAGAAACUCAAAAAACCUCCACAAAAUGGAUCAGUAAGUAUGAAAAUGAUGGCUCCAAGAACACGUAAGGUGUCUUUCCACCUGCCAAUUAAGAAAGAUGAGGAAGUCAUCUAUGACUAAAGCUCCUAUGCUGUACGAGGACUUCAAGCCUCAAAGCUAGGGGCUGCAGAAUGGUGCUGGGGCUAUCUCAUGCCUCCCCCACCACCACCCCACCCCUGACAGCAGUUAACCCAGCUGUGUCUACAGGUGUGUCAGAUGCAGAUGAGAAAAAUUGAUUGGUUUCUCCAUUUAGUCUGAGUGGCUGAUGUGGGGCUCUGACAGGGUGAAGGUAAGCACGGCACUGCCCAGUCAGUCAGUGUUGAAACACUGGGGCACCAGCCCAUGCAGUAUUCCCUCAUCCUACAUCUCUCUCUGCCCUGGGUGAUGCCAGAAUGCCACCAUCUUGUGGGGUUACUUUCCAAAAUUUUUUACCACAUUCAAGCAUUAAAGUAACAGAGGAGACUGAAAUAGUAUUAAUUUUUUGACUAGCUUCUUUUAUUCUUUUUUUUUUUUUUUUUUUGAAUGCUUACAGGAAACUACAUUAGAGUCCCAAAGUAAUGGAACAUUAAAAAACCAUCUGGAGAUCUAAAGCAAUUUUAAUAUAAAGAGUUACAGUAGCACUGAUGCAUGACCACAAAGACAGAUAUGAUCCAUUGGAUUCGUUGUAAGUGUGGCAGAUAACUUGCAGUAGUGCUCAGGAACGCAAAAAUCUGAUAUUUCAAAAUGAAAUCUUGGGAUAGUUAAUAAUUACAGAACGAAAAUGAGAGAAACUAACUGUUGGCUUCAUAAACAGAGUAAGACUGUAUUUAGCAAAUACUUGUGUUCUGGUAGGAUUAUACACACAGAAAUACACAUGCAUGUGCUAAAUAAAUGGCAUGAACAUGAUGGACAUGGUGUAUAUAGAUACG